rnacentral:rRNA from 1 species
AUUAGCUAGUUGGUGAGGUAAUGGCUCACCAAGGCGACGAUCAGUAGCCGGCCUGAGAGGGUGAACGGCCACACUGGGACUGAGACACGGCCCAGACUCCUACGGGAGGCAGCAGUGGGGAAUCUUCCGCAAUGGGCGAAAGCCUGACGGAGCAACGCCGCGUGAAUGAAGAAGGCCUUCGGGUCGUAAAGUUCUGUCUUAUGGGACGAAGGCCUGUGGUGUGAAUAAUGCCAUAGGAUGACGGUACCAUAGGAGGAAGCCCCGGCUAACUACGUGCCAGCAGCCGCGGUAAUACGUAGGGGGCAAGCGUUGUCCGGAAUUACUGGGCGUAAAGGGCGUGUAGGUGGGAAAUUAAGUCAUGGGUGUAAACUCUGGGCUCAACCUAGAGAUUGCCCAUGAAACUGGUUUUCUUGAGGGCAGGAGAGGAAAGUGGAAUUCCUAGUGUAGCGGUGAAAUGCGUAGAUAUUAGGAGGAACACCAGUGGCGAAGGCGACUUUCUGGACUGUCCCUGACACUGAGGCGCGAAAGCCAGGGGAGCGAACGGGAUUAGAUACCCCGGUAGUCCUGGCCGU